GGCUGGAUAGCUCACUUGGUAAAGCACCGGAACGGUAAUCCGGAGGUCGCAGGUUCAAACCCUGCUCCAGUCA
rnacentral:tRNA from 1 species